GACGAACGCUGGCGGCGUGCUUAACACAUGCAAGUCGAACGGAAAGGCCCUGCUUUUGCGGGGUGCUCGAGUGGCGAACGGGUGAGUAACACGUGAGUAACCUGCCCUUGACUUUGGGAUAACUUCAGGAAACUGGGGCUAAUACCGGAUAGGAGCUCCUGCUGCAUGGUGGGGGUUGGAAAGUUUCGGCGGUUGGGGAUGGACUCGCGGCUUAUCAGCUUGUUGGUGGGGUAGUGGCUUACCAAGGCUUUGACGGGUAGCCGGCCUGAGAAGGUGACCGGCCACAUUGGGACUGAGAUACGGCCCAGACUCCUACGGGAGGCAGCAGUGGGGAAUAUUGCACAAUGGGCGGAAGCCUGAUGCAGCAACGCCGCGUGCGGGAUGACGGCCUUCGGGUUGUAAACCGCUUUCGCCUGUGACGAAGCGUGAGUGACGGUAAUGGGUAAAGAAGCACCGGCUAACUGCGUG
rnacentral:rRNA from 1 species